GCUCAGGAUGAACGCUGGCGGCGUGCUUAACACAUGCAAGUCGAACGGGAAUUACUUUAUUGAAACUUCGGUCGAUUUAAUUUAAUUCUAGUGGCGGACGGGUGAGUAACGCGUGGGUAACCUGCCUUAUACAGGGGGAUAACAGUCAGAAAUGGCUGCUAAUACCGCAUAAGCGCACAGAGCUGCAUGGCUCAGUGUGAAAAACUCCGGUGGUAUAAGAUGGACCCGCGUUGGAUUAGCUAGUUGGUGGGGUAACGGCCCACCAAGGCGACGAUCCAUAGCCGGCCUGAGAGGGUGAACGGCCACAUUGGGACUGAGACACGGCCCAGGCUCCUACGGGAGGCAGCAGUA
rnacentral:rRNA from 1 species